AUGUUGUCUUCACCUAGUAUCGUAGCAUACAAUGUUUUCCCCGCACAAUUACAGAAUUUUGGCGACAUCUCGUUACCGAAAAGGUCGAAAAGUGUCGGGGCGCAACUCUAUCCAGAUUGGGUCAUUAAGAAAAAUCUUACGUCUUUUUGGGACGAAUGCAAUGUUGUUCUAUAUGAAUUAAUAAAAGAGGGAAGACCUAUUAAUUCUACUGCAAUCCAAACUAGAUUAUGCCAAAAAGAAAAAGCAUUGGGUGUGGAUAGAAUUAUCAAAAAUUUGGAUAACAAAGUUAAUUCGGCUAUUGAAAAAACCAAAUCAAAUAUUACGUAUGCCGAAUCUUUUCUAGAAAAAUAG
rnacentral:rRNA from 1 species